GGGGAAUAUUGGACAAUGGGCGCAAGCCUGAUCCAGCAAUGCCGCGUGUGUGAAGAAGGCCUUCGGGUUGUAAAGCACUUUUGUUUGGGAAGAAAUCCGGUUGGUUAAUACCCGAUCGGGAUGACGGUACCAAAAGAAUAAGCACCGGCUAACUUCGUGCCAGCAGCCGCGGUAAUACGAAGGGUGCAAGCGUUAAUCGGAAUUACUGGGCGUAAAGCGUGCGUAGGUGGUUUGUUAAGUCAGAUGUGAAAGCCCUGGGCUCAACCUGGGAACUGCAUUUGAUACUGGCAGGCUAGAGUGCGGUAGAGGGUGGUGGAAUUCCCGGUGUAGCGGUGAAAUGCGUAGAGAUCGGGAGGAACAUUCGUGGCGAAGGCGGCCACCUGGACCAGCACUGACACUGAGGCACGAAAGCGUGGGGAGCAAAC
rnacentral:rRNA from 1 species